ACAACCCUCCGUGCUACUCCGGUCGAGCCAGGUGAUUUGUCUGGAGUCCCGGAGGAGUAUCUUGAUCUGCGGGAGGUUUUCAGUCGGUCCCAGGCAAGCUCUCUCCCUCCUCAUCGGCCGUACGACUGUAGCAUAGACCUCCUCCCAGGUACCACUCCCCCGCGCGGCAGACUCUAUUCCUUGUCAGCCCCUGAACGCGAAGCACUUGAGAAUUAUCUCUCUGAAUCUUUAAAUGCGGGUACUAUUGUUCCAUCCUCGUCUCCAGCCGGUGCUGGUUUUUUCUUUGUUAAAAAGAAGGACGGUUCUUUGCGUCCCUGCAUAGACUAUCGAGGGCUGAAUGACAUCACUGUUAAGAAUUGCUAUCCCUUACCACUGAUGUCAUCUGCCUUCGAAUUAUUGCAGGGAGCAAAGAUUUUUACUAAACUCGAUCUCCGUAACGCCUACCAUCGUGUGCGCAUCAAGGAGGGUGACGAGUGGAAGACCGCUUUUAAUACGCCCCUCGGUCACUUUGAAUACCGGGUUCUCCCGUUCGGUCUAGUCAACGCACCUGCCGUGUUUCAGGCCCUCGUAAACGAUGUCCUCUGGGACAUGCUCAAUGUUUUUGUCUUCGUCUAUCUCGACGACAUUGUGAUCUU
ensembl:lncRNA